rnacentral:rRNA from 1 species
UACAGGGGGGGCGAGCGUUGUUCGGAAUUAUUGGGCGUAAAGGGUGCGUAGGCGGUCUAUUAAGUCAGUGCUGAAAUAUCCCGGCUUAACCGGGAGGGUGGCAUUGAUACUGAUGGACUUGAGUAAAGUUGAGGUUGGCGGAAUUGACGGUGUAGCGGUGGAAUGCGUAGAGAUCGGGAAGAACACCCGUGGCGAAGGCGGCCGGCUGGGGUCGAACUGACGCUGAGGCGCGACAGCGUGGGGAGCAAACAGG